CGCUGUCUCUCGCCUUUGCUUCCCAAGGAGGCGUGUACCUUCUGAAUCCAGGGCACAGGCAGUGCCUCUCGGUCUGAGAAGCCAUUUAAAUCCAGAGGGAGAAAGAAAGAUGUCAAGCCCAGCGAGGGAACAAGAACCCCCAUUAUUAGCUAGGCCUACACCCUCAGCUUAGUCCUUCCUGCCACAAUCAUCCCUCAAGCUAGAACAACAGAAGCUAAAUAAACACCAUUCUUCAGAGGCUGGAGAAAGCUUCCAGAGGUGAUGCCGCCAUAUGCCAGGAGGGGAUGGAGAGAAUCAGGAGACAGAAUCAGGCUUACGGAAGCCAGACGGAGUGUCUCAGUGAUAAAGCUGGCCUCAAAGGAGAGGAAGGGCUGACCCGGCUCCCUUCCCCAGGCAACUUACUGCCGAGGAGGCCUCGCUGAAACAGCUCUCCACUCCCGCUGGCCUGCAGCCAGCCGAGCAGCGGGAGGAACAGCGUCGGCAAGCUGCAUCCCGAAGAUAGCCUGCUCCCGGACUAGGAAAAUAAGCACACUCCGAGUUAUCUGCCUCGAGCUAGCAGCAGGCCGCCCGACCGUUAUGUGAAACGGGCGGGACUGAGGCAAGGAAGUGUUUUAAAUAUCUUGUUUUGUUUUGUUAUUUUUUGGCCAAUUGGAACCGAGGCCGGCUUCAGGCAUGGUGACAGAAGGGCUCACCUUCAGAGCAUGGAACUGACCCAGUCAUGUUAUAGCCACAAAGACGUAAUUAGGACUUGUCCCUACCUUGGAGAAGAGGUGCCCUCCGGAAGGCUUUUUUUUUUUUUUUUUUAAACUUCUUCCUAGGAGGGGCUGGUUGGUAGGAUCCAAAAAGUGGAGGGAGGAGGAAAGGGCAGGUGGAGAGGAG